rnacentral:rRNA from 1 species
GAUAAACGUUGGCGGCGUGCCUAAUGCAUGCAAGUCGCACGAGGGCUUCGGCCCUAGUGGCGGACGGGUGAGUAACACGUACGAAUCUGCCCGGAGGUGGGGGACAACUUCCCGAAAGGGAAGCUAAUACCGCAUACGGUCUACGGACCAAAGCCGAAAGGCGCCACCGGAGGAGCGUGCGGCGGAUUAGCUAGUUGGUGGGGUAACGGCCUACCAAGGCGACGAUCCGUAGCUGGUCUGAGAGGAUGGUCAGCCACACUGGGACUGAGAUACGGCCCAGACUCCUACGGGAGGCAGCAGCAAGGAAUUUUGCACAAUCGACGCAAGUCGGAUGCAGCAACGCCGCGUGGGGGAUGAAGGCUCUCGGGUUGUAAACCCCUUUUGCGAGGGAAGAAGAUCUGACGGUACCUCGCGAAUAAGUCACGGCUAACUACGUGCCAGCCGCCGCCGUAA